AAGUAUAGUAAAUAAUAAAAUAAUAAUAAUAUCCUCCAUUCUGCCAAAACAUCAGAAGCUGGAUUCUUUUCUUCAUCUCUACCUUUGACUUAUCUCUACUUUUUAACAUAGUAUCAUUAUUUUCUAUGUGUUAUUUCAGUUACUCUUCCACUGAAAAAUGUGAGAAAGAGGCGGUUCAGGAAGACAGCUAAGAAAAAAUACAUUGAGUCUCCAGAUGUGGAGAAGGAAGUGAAACGCCUGCUGAGUACCGAUGCUGAAGCCGUCAGUGUUCGUAUCCUUUUUAUAAAACAAGGAUUCCUCCUGUGGUGAAGUGUAAAUUUUUAACUUGCAGUUAUGUGUAAUUAUAGAUGUUAUGUAUAAUUAUAGACAGAUGUUUAAAGGGUAAGUAUUGAAAGUUGCAUAACCAAGGGAGAUGACAGCCAGCUCAGCUUAUUGUGAGCUGGGUUACCAUGGAAACAGGGGCGGAGCCAACUGCCACUUGGCAGGGCAGCCAUUUUAAACAGUUAGUCUGUAGCCGGAGAGCUACGGAGAAGACUGAUUCUCUAGGAGGAGAAUCAGGGAAAUAGUCUACAGUCUGUGAACGGUAGGAGAGGCUGGUUCUGUUGAGUAGAGAGAACCAGAAGGGAUCUGUAGUUUAAAAACUACAGGGAAAGAACUGAUUCUACUGUAGUAAGAAUCAGAGAGGUUUGGGCUUUUAGCCUGAGUAGUUUAAAUAAGUCGAGUUGGCUUAUUUAUAUUAAUA